rnacentral:rRNA from 1 species
AUUGAACGCUGGCGGCAGGCCUAACACAUGCAAGUCGAACGAGUGGCGGACGGGUGAGUAAUGUCUGGGAAACUGCCUGAUGGAGGGGGAUAACUACUGGAAACGGUAGCUAAUACCGCAUACCAUCAGAUGUGCCCAGAUGGGAUUAGCUAGUUGGUGGUGUAACGGCUCCCCAAGGCGACGAGCCCUAGCUGGUCUGAGAGGAUGACCAGCCACACUGGAACUGAGACACGGUCCAGACUCCUACGGGAGGCAGCAGUGGGGAAUAUGGCACAAUGGGCGCAAGCCUGAUGCAGCCAGGCCGCGUGUGUGAAGAAGGCCUUCGGGUUGUAAAGUACUUUCAGCGGGGAGGCGUUACCCGCAGAAGAAGCACCGGCUAACUCCGUGCCAGCCGCCGCGGUAAUUC